AUAUCACAGACAAGGAAGUGCUCGACUCAGUUCCAGUUUGAUAUGUGGGUGUGUGGGACAGUAUAUAAGGUGCCAGUGUGGGAGGUUUUUCCACAUGCCAUCUGACAACAUGAAGGUCCUGCUUCUUGUGACGCUGCUCCUGCUGUGUAGCACUCAAGUGCUCACACUCAGAUGCUACACCUGUGACAGUAACCCUGACUGCAAGACAGAGACAGAAUGCCCAGAAUCAUCUCAGUACUGCAUGACAAGUUUUUCCACUGAUGGCGAGACCAUAUCUCGAACUUGUGAGGACCUGUGUAACACUGGGGAUCCCUGCUGCAGUACCGACCUUUGCGACCCUCAGGAUCCAGUGCCUGCAAACAGCACAUAAGAAGCUGGAGGCGGGGCGACCACACGCACACAAACACACUCUUAAUCCCUUCCUGAUGUCACUUAGUGGGUCACUGCAACAGCCUACUGCUAUGUGGGUCGCUCUCUGUGUCUGUUGCCAUGUAAAGUUGGACUCCCUUGUCUGUUUGCAAUGCAAAAAGAAUAAAUCUGUUAAUUGAUCCCAUGAA